rnacentral:rRNA from 1 species
AUACGGAGGGGGUUAGCGUUGUUCGGAAUUACUGGGCGUAAAGCGCACGUAGGCGGACUGGAAAGUUGGGGGUGAAAUCCCGGGGCUCAACCCCGGAACUGCCUCCAAAACUUCCAAUCUAGAGAUCGAGAGAGGUGAGUGGAAUUCCAAGUGUAGAGGUGAAAUUCGUAGAUAUUUGGAGGAACACCAGCGGCGAAGGCGGCUCACUGGCUCGAUACUGACGCUGAGGUGCGAAAGCGUGGGGAGCAAACAGGAUUAGAAACCCCGGUAGUCC